rnacentral:rRNA from 1 species
GGCGGCAGGCCUAACACAUGCAAGUCGAGCGGUAACAGAGAGUAGCUUGCUACUUUGCUGACGAGCGGCGGACGGGUGAGUAAUGCUUGGGAACAUGCCUUGAGGUGGGGGACAACAGUUGGAAACGACUGCUAAUACCGCAUAAUGUCUACGGACCAAAGGGGGCUUCGGCUCUCGCCUUUAGAUUGGCCCAAGUGGGAUUAGCUAGUUGGUGAGGUAAUGGCUCACCAAGGCGACGAUCCCUAGCUGGUUUGAGAGGAUGAUCAGCCACACUGGGACUGAGACACGGCCCAGACUCCUACGGGAGGCAGCAGUGGGGAAUAUUGCACAAUGGGCGCAAGCCUGAUGCAGCCAUGCCGCGUGUGUGAAGAAGGCCUUCGGGUUGUAAAGCACUUUCAGUCAGGAGGAAAGGUUAGUAGUUAAUACCUGCUAGCUGUGACGUUACUGACAGAAGAAGCACCGGCUAACUCCGUGCCAGCAGCCGCGGUAAUACGGAGGGUGCGAGCGUUAAUCGGAAUUACUGGGCGUAAAGCGUACGCAGGCGGUUUGUUAAGCGAGAUGUGAAAGCCCCGGGCUCAACCUGGGAACUGCAUUUCGAACUGGCAAACUAGAGUGUGAUAGAGGGUGGUAGAAUUUCAGGUGUAGCGGUGAAAUGCGUAGAGAUCUGAAGGA